AUUGAACGCUGGCGGCAGGCCUAACACAUGCAAGUCGAGCGGAUGACGGGAGCUUGCUCCUUGAUUCAGCGGCGGACGGGUGAGUAAUGCCUAGGAAUCUGCCUGGUAGUGGGGGACAACGUUUCGAAAGGAACGCUAAUACCGCAUACGUCCUACGGGAGAAAGCAGGGGACCUUCGGGCCUGGCGCUAUCAGAUGAGCCCGGGUCGGAUUAGCUAGUUGGUGGGGUAAUGGCUCACCAAGGGGACGACCGGUAACUGGUCUGAGAGGAUGAUCAGUCACACUGGAACUGAGACACGGUCCAGACUCCUACGGGAGGCAGCAGUGGGGAAUAUUGGACAAUGGGCGAAAGCCUGAUCCAGCCAUGCCGCGUGUGUGAAGAAGGUCUUCGGAUUGUAAAGCACUUUAAGUUGGGAGGAAGGGCAGUAAGCUAAUACCUUGCUGUUUUGACGUUACCGACAGAAUAAGCACCGGCUAACUCUGUGCCAGCAGCCGCCGUAAUAC
rnacentral:rRNA from 1 species